ACGCUCGACACCUACGGGAAGCAGCAGUGGGGAAUAUUGCACAAUGGGGGAAACCCUGAUGCAGCGACGCCGCGUGAGCGAAGAAGUAUUUCGGUAUGUAAAGCUCUAUCAGCAGGGAAGAAAAUGACGGUACCUGACUAAGAAGCACCGGCUAAAUACGUGCCAGUAGCCGCGGUAAUCUGAGCGGGCGUGGCAAGGC
rnacentral:rRNA from 1 species